UACGUAGGGUGCGAGCGUUAAUCGGAAUUACUGGGCGUAAAGCGUGCGCAGGCGGUUCGACAAGUCCGAUGUGAAAGCCCCGGGCUCAACCUGGGAAUGGCAUUGGAAACUGGCGAGCUUGAGUGUGGCAGAGGGGGGUGGAAGUUCCGCGUGUAGCAGUGAAAUGCGUAGAGAUGCGGAGGAACACCGAUGGCGAAGGCAGCCCCCUGGGCUGACACUGACGCUCAGGCACGAAAGCGUGGGGAGCAAACAGG
rnacentral:rRNA from 1 species